GGGGUUGGAUCUUUGAAGUCGAGAAAAUUAGGAGGGGGUCAGAAUUUUGGGGUGGUCUUUUGAAGGUUCAAAAAGAGGGAAAUCUUCUGAGGGAGGUUCUGAUUUGAAAAUAGAGUAAGGAAAAUAUUUUAGAGUUUCUAAAUGUAGGUUGAAAAUUUCAGUCGAAAGUCUCGGGGGUUUCAAAGUUUCUUUAGGCGUAAAGGUAAAAGACGCUUUGUUGGUGGUCGAUGUCAUGAGAUUCUGAUACCAAUAAGUGUGCUGAUAGCUCGCCGUCAUAUUUUUGCUGCGUCAAAGGAGUUGGCAGGUCAAUCGGAGCUUCUUGAGUUGAUGACGCUAAGUUUUGAUGGUGGCGUCUUUUGGUGUUUGUUUCCUCGUCUCAUUUUGCUACUCUCGUAAAGGUAAUAUCAUACACCAUUUUAAUUUUUCGACUGCUUCUUCUUCAUCUCAUCAUUCUAUAGUAGAAAAUUAUUAUUCUAAUAAUCCUGUGUUGGGUGUUCGUUGUAUAUUGUUGAUUGAUUUUCGGUUGAAUGCUCUUAUUUUGUGUGUUGCUUAAGUUUUGUAUGGUUAAUCCCGUUAAAGUUUCAUGCUUUAACAUUUUUUUGGGGGAUAGCAUUUUGUUAGGUCUGGCUUUUACAUUAAAGUUCUGUGCCUUGGAUUUUGUUUCGAGUAACCAAUAUCCUGUUGAGGUUAGUUUCGUUGUUUAAAGUUCCAUGCUUUGAUCCUGUUUUGGGUUGUCUGAAUUUUGUUAAAACUAGUUUCAUAGUAAACUUUUGUGUUUUGGUUUGGUCUAAUAAGUUUCAGGUUGUUAGAAUCUUGUUUACCUGAUUUCUAUGGUUAAAGUUUCGCACUGCGAUUUUGUUCAAUACAUUUUGAGCUGCUAAAUGUUAUUUACCUGUUAACCCUGCUCCCUUUGUUAUGGAAUUGCAAAGUUUGAAUCUUUGCUUCCUUUUGGAGCUUGUUUCAAGUCGGUAUUUCGUUUGUUUGAUCCCCAAAGGUAAUGUAAUUAUCUUAUUGAAAAAAAUGGGUAGGGUCCCUUCAAUAUUGUAUUUGAGUCUGAAUGAUAUUGUAUAAUGAAAAUAUGAGCUUGACUUGGAAAUGAUCUAAUUUAUGAACAUCCUUCGCAUUUUUUUCGGAGCCUGAAUGUUUAAAUUUUGAGGUUAUAAUAUGAGAAAAGAUUAUUUUUGACCAUUAAGAGAAAUGAGUCUUCCGUUAUGUGUUUGGGAUUCCCCGUGUUUCAUUCUUGGUGUUUUAUAUAGUGUUCUGACAAUGUGUUUGAUGUCAAUUAUUUGGGUGGAUUGCUAGUGUUGGUGAAAGUUCCUCAACUCAUUAAUUAAUAUGAAAGAAUUUAAGCAGGUGGCAGUGCAUUUGAUGUAAGGGAAAUUCUCCCUCUUUGCUCAAGCUAAUUUCUUUGAUUACCUCUCCAUGGUCCGAUAUUUUGAGUUUUCUAUUUAUUAUUUUCCAACUAAUCUUAUAGGAUUUUGAGGGUACGUAUAGGGAGGAUUUUGACUCAGCAUGUUAUUUGCCUAUAUGAACGCACCCUCACACUUCUCAUUAGCCUUGUGGCUUUGCUGUGACUGACUAGGAGUUAGAUCACUCUGUGAUGUCUUUCCUUCAGAUAGUCAUAUGUUAUGUAUCUUAUUUUUUUAUUUUUUUUUAUUUAUUUCCUUGGUUAAAUGUUUGUGUUUUUCUCCUUUAGCUCCCUUUUUCCUUUUCUUUCUUAGUUGAUCACAUAUUAAUGGUCAUUACUUUCUUGCUUUGCAUGAACCCGCUUGAGAGUCCAAAUGGACUUUUUCCCUGGCAUUUCACAGUGGGCUAUGGAGGCUCACCCUUUAGGAGACUUUGCAAAGAAAAUUGCAUGGCAUACAGAUACAUGGAGUCGGAAGAGGAAAAUGGGUCAAAGUCCCAUCAUUGAAGCGACCAAGAGUCUUAGAAGUCUCAUUCCCUUAUUAGUUUAUUUCUUAUUAUAUAUAUUCAUUUAUUUCCCUAUUUAUUCUUUUGUGCCUCGAAGCCAAAGUUGUAAAUUUAAUACAGGUGGAGUGAGACUCGAGCUAAAGGCUCGAAAACAUAGAAUCAGGACAGGUACAAAUGGGUCAAAAGCCCAACUAGAUUAGGACAGGGUCGACGGUUUGGGCUUAAAAGCCUAAAUCAUUACUUUCCCGCUUUUUCACUUUUCAUUUACUUGUUUGCUUGUCUCUUUGAGAACCUAGUUAAAUCCCUAAGUAAGUCGCUAAAAAAUUGAUUUCACAAAAUCCUUUUCCUUAAUCAAAUUCUUUUUCAACAAACCGAUUUUCCAAAGUUAAUCAAAAGAUGAUUUUCAAACGUUCUGGAUAACCGCAAGUUAGCGGACGUUUUAGGUACCUAACACCUUCUAAAAACGUUAAUAAGAACAGCUUACUUAGAAUCUCUUAACUUAAAUGAUUUUUUUAUUUUAGAUCGUUUAAAGUGUUUUAUAAAGGUUUCUUGAUUCCUUUUCAAAAUUAAGUGGUGACUCUCUUUCAAAAAUAUAAAAUUUCUCCGCAAAACAGAAAUGGCGACUCUGCUGGGGAUUUAUAACUAGGUUCUAACCAAAUAAUUGAUUUCGUCUUUUGAUUAAAUAUUUAUGUGUUCCAAUUAUGUAAAGUUUAAUUAUCGCAUCUCAUGGCAUAUUCCUACAUCUUAUAAACUGUUUUGGGGUUUUGUGCGGCCCCUGUUGUUCAAUUCCAAAAUGUGUUGGAAAUACCAACAACUUAUCAGCACGUGAGCCGUCUGACGUUGUUCGCAUUUUUAAACUCAAGUUGUCCGCUUGAGAACUAAUGUUCAAACCCACUCUAGACACCUAGGAUAGAACGAAACCAAAACCCUAUUUUAGGCAUGAGCCUAGGACGAACCAAUACCCGAGUGAGGUAUUGGGCCCAUUAGAAUACCUCCCUACGUCUAUUGAUCCCGAGUCCAUUAUAGACAAACCAUAUUUAUGUGUUGAAGAAAAUGUAUGCCUGUCUAAUUCAAUCCAUUAUUCUUUGUGGGUCGGGAAAAAGCUUGAUUUGCUUACUUUUGUAAGAAGAAUUGAAGCAAGUUAAGCGAGAAAUUGAUCGAUUUGGGAGGUUUCAUCUAAGGAACAAUUUGAGCGCCGACGGAUGUCACCAAUAAGAGAAGUGUACAAGGCAAAGAAUGUAAAAUCGAACGAAGGAGCCUCCACUAGCUAAUCUUUCUAUUCUCCCCUGCACGGGAACUUAUCUUCUUUCAUAUUAUUUUUUUUUCCUAAAGAUUGUAUCCCUAUUUUGAUAUAUUUUGUAGGCAUUUAUGCCCUUUUCGUGUCUAUAUGAGUUGGGGGUUAAUGGAUUGACUUUGAGAAAGCACUUAUUUUCUUCAAAAAAUCAUUAGGCCUGAUCCCUUGGCUCAAAAAGGGUCACCCCAACUAGGAUACGCGUCAUUAUAAUGUUUUGUGUAAUAUAACUGUUUUAUGUGCUUAUGUGCGUUUGUUGAGAUCAAAGGCAAGUUUAUCCACUAUGUCCUACGGAUGAAUUUGACUAUAACUCGAACAACUCUGUAUGGUUAUUUCCUGUCAAAUAUUUUGCAUUACUUAUCACAUACGGAAACUAACACAUAUGCCUUUGAGAUGUUUUACUUUGUAGAUAAUAGAAAUUACUCGUGUUGAUAUAAGCUGGAAGAACAUCCCUACUUCAUCCGAUCGAAAGCGCACAAAAUCUCAUCCCCUGACCAUCAUUCAAAAAUGACAGGAAAUGACGAGGAAAGUGCCCUGACUAUUCGGGACAAUGUGAUAGCGGAACAGAAUGAGAUGAUUGCAGAACUUGCAAGAAAGUUAGAAAUGCUUUAGGAAAAAGUAAAUUGCACUCGGGAUUUGGCUAACUUGGCCAUCACCAUCAAUUCCCCCGCUCCAGAGGGACAUGGGACUCCACUCCAAAUCUAUCCCCUCAGUACACCUACUCUUGGGGAUCAGCCGAAUAACAUAUCAUCCAUCUCCGCUCCUCCAUUUGUACAAAAUACUAAUUGUGAAAAUAACUCAGACGCCUAUAAUCCACAAAAUAUGUUAAACCUACCUUUGAAUCCACCAAAUUCAUUUCCAAAUCCGCAAAAUCCUUCUCAAAUUCCGCCAAACUACUCGCAAAGUCCGCAGAGCCUUUCCAAUUUCCAAAACGUCCUUCCCACUUACCAAACAAAUUCCUUUCAUCCACAAAAUCAAGCCUCCCUCCAAAUCCCCUUCAAGUUAUUAUAUCCCCUUACACCUAUAAACCCCUUCCUAAUCCUAAGAUGGACUAUUACGAGGAGAAAGAGAAAGAGUGGAGGACUGAGCAUGAAAGGAAUUUACUAGCUAUGAAGGAAGAGAUCAUGAGGAUCAAAGAGUCUCAUGGAGCCAGGGACCACGACGAUUUGGGGUAUGACGAAUUAUGUGUUGACCUGGGAGUAGACCUACCAGAUGGGUACAAACUCCCUAAGUUUAAAAUAUUUGACGAUACUGGAAACCCAAUGGCCCAUCUAAGAAGGUACUGUGAUCAACUGGUAGGGAUAAAGAAGAUUGAGGCAUUAUUGAUGCACCUAUUCAGCCAAGGUUUAAGCGGUGAAGCCUUGGAGUGGUUCAUGUCUCAGGAGCCAAAAAAGUGGACUGGUUGGAAAGCAUUGGCCAAGGGUUUCCUUGACCGGUUCAUAUUCAAUAUUGAAAUAGUCCCUGACCGGUAUUCACUAGAUCGGAUCAAAUAGAAGAAUGAUGAAAUUUUUUGAGACUAUACUUUUCGUUGGAUAAAAGAGGCUGCUAAAGUACAACUUCCCAUGUCUGAGGAAGAAAUGGUAUCAGUUUUCUCUCGUGUACAGGAAGGAGAAUUUUAUACUAGGAUGGUAUCCGCGGUCCGAGCAACUUUCAUAGAUUUAGUAAAUAUUGGGGAAUUAUUUGAGGAAGGCAUACGAACAGGAAAAAUUGCCAAAACCCCAACAUCAUCUGAAUCUUCUGCAUUUCCAAAGAAGAAAAGAGAGGAUGCGACUGCGGUCUCUACUAAUUCUGUUGAUAAGUUAAAGAGGAAAUUCAAGCCUAGAAAUAUUCUUUCCUCAUCAUCAUCACCAAGUUUUCAGCCUAUAUUCUACGCUCAACCCCAAUGUCAAGCUCUAAAUCCAAAUAUUUUACCCCAGUACCAAGUUCCACAACUAAAUUAUCAGACUCAUACUCAAGCUACUUUUCCAAAUAACCAAAUAAACGUCCAAACAUCUCCAAAUUAUCAUCAAGUACCUCCCCCCAUAAAUCAGAAUCAUUAUAACCCUCCACGUCCAAAACUUGAAAAGAAACCUCCCUGAAACUUCACGCUGCUAGCUGAAAGUCGUACCUGUUAUGGUCCCGAAAAAAAAUUUAAGCAUGGGAUAGAGUACCAGCCAAGAAGGAAAAAUGAGAUCGAAGAUAAUUAAAAGGAGAGUCUUUUUAGGCCUUUGCUGAUCUUGUACCAGUCAUUUCUCGUACAUGAGGUGUCAAAUGAUGAUUGGGGAUGGGAUAAAAUAUCUGUUCAAAGGAUACAAUGCUCUACCAGAUGGUUUUCCAAAGUUCGGUGGGGUAAAGAAGAUUGCAUUGUGGGAGGCCUUGCAAAACUGGACCUCCACUCCACUCAUAACCCGUCACUCAUUGCGGUAGAUGAAAGGGCAAUUACUAAUAGUUUUUAAAAUCGGUGAUGAUCCGGAGGAGGCCCCGUUAUCCACCCUUUUAGGUCUCAAAUUUUUAUUUCGUGUUUUAUAACUUUCAAAAAGGCAUGGGCCCAUAUUUGUAUGGGUCAUAAGCCAUAGUUUUUAUUUAUUUUCCAAAAGGCCUCCCUUUAUUUAAGAAGUUAAUUUUUAAGUAUGAUUAUCUAGCAUGGUUUGUUUUGGUCGCAAUAAUUUUAAAAACCUGUCAAUAUCAUGUCACAUCAAAGGUAAGGCAAACAAGGCGAAGGAAAUAAUGAUGAACAGAAAAGGUGAUGAGGAGCAGUUAGUAGUGGAUACAUAGGAAUGUGAAAAUCAAAAGAAUCCCAACCUAGAGGAGCCUUAAUACUACCCGAGAUGGAUGGUCAAGAGUGGACCAAACCAAUCGAUUCUAAUGCAGUAAAGAUAUAUCAUGCUUGAAAGAUGUUAUAGUUUUUAUUUCUGGGCUUAUUUGUAAUCACCUUUAUAAGAGUAUCAAUUUUAUGAUGUGUAAUCGCCUAGAAUCCUUUCCCUUUAUGUACGAACUACAUUUGACCUGAAUUCCCAAGAAAUGGAUACAUAGGCGGCCUAUGUCAACUUUGGUCAACCCCUUAGGAUAAUUUAUCUUUCCUCUUAUGUAUGAACUACGUGAUGACCUGAAUUCUCAAGAAUGAGAUACGUAGGCAGCCUAUGUUGGCUUCGGUCAACCCAUUAGAUUUUUCUUUGUAUACCUCUAGCGUAGGCCUGAACUACGUUUGACCUGAUUCCUACUUCAACGGGAUACGUAGGCACCCCAACAGCUUGGUCUUAUAACCCCAGGAAAGGAAAACUGGGGCAAAAUUUUCAAGAAGGAAUCUUAAAAAUUCACAAGAAAAGGUCGACAUCCAACAAAGAGAAUGAAGAUCAGUAAAGACUUCAGAUCCACUCGUAUUGAUAUCAUCUCAAACAACUUUAAACUAGGGCAGAAAUUUUAAGGAAGACCUCAAAAUUUCCACCAAAUGCCGGAACAUAUUCCUAAUUCCCCAGCACCAGAGGUUAAAGUCAAGCUUUGGAAGCCACCAACUGUAAUAAAGUUUGGGUAGACUCAAUUUUUGGCUAUGAUAGAACUACUUAAAGAAACCCUCCAACAAUGAUCAUGAGUUUUGGAAACCAUCCAUUGAAUAUAGUCAAAACCAUGAGGAAGACAUUCGUUGAGCUAGUACGUGACAUAACUGACAGAGAUUUUCUAAAGUUUUACAGAAGUUUUCAAAAAAAAUUUCAAAAAUUUAAGACUAUUUUCCAAAAAUCUUACGACUCACUUAUUUAGUAUUUGCCUAGACAUCAUUUGGUGUGGAGUAUCAGGGUGGAAGUCCCGAUAUGGUGGAAUGCCCAAGAGAAGGAAAGGAGAAAAUCAAGGAUCGAAGGAGGUCAACACGGAGUAAUUUUAUUCAAACUAAUCAUUUUUCAGUAGAUGCAGGGUUCAAUAUACAAAAUGAGGGUGUCUUUCAAAAAUCCCCAAGCAAAAUGGGAGCCACAACAGAGCAUUAAUACCCAAGAAUGGUAUUUUAGGGUAUCCCUAAAAAUAGGUUUAACGUCCAUUUAUUGAGGACCUUUUGAUUUGUCCAUCUCAUUUCUCGAGAUCAUAGGCAACAAACAAAAGCUCUUUGUCUUCUUUACACAUAUCAUAUUUAGAAGUUUCCUAAAAAUAGUCGCUAGUAAAAGUGACUUUGUGUCUACUAAUCGUCUACCUUGUGUACAGGUACACAUAGAAAGCAGGAUGCUGACAAAUGAAAUCAGGUAAAAUUACACAUUAUAGCUGCAAGGCAUUGACUCAAGGGCUAUUGUAUAUCAUCGCCACAAGGGUUAUUAUGUAUCAUCGCCACAAUGGCUAUUGCAUAUCAUCGCCACAUGGGCUAUUGCAUAUAAUCACCACAAGGGCUAUUGCAUAUCAUUGCCACAAGGGCUAUUGCAUAUAAUCAUCAUAAUGGCUAUUGUAUAUCAUCUCCACAAGGGCUAUUGCAUAUCAUCGCCACAAUGGCUAUUGCAUAUCAUAGCCACAAUGGCUAUAACAUAUCAUCGGCACAAUAGCUAUUGCAUAUCAUCGCCACAAUGGCUAUUGCAUAUCAUCGCCACAAGGGUUAUUGUAUAUCAUCGCCACAAUGGCUAUUUCAUAUCAUCGCCACAAGGGUUAUUACAUAUCAUUGCCACAAUGGCUAUUGCAUAUCAUCGCCACAAGGGCUAUUGCAUAUCAUAGCCACAAUGGCUAUUGCAUAUCAUCACCACAAUGUCUAAUGCAUAUCAUGGCCACUAUGGCUAUUGUAUAUCAUCGCCACAAUGUCUAUUGCAUAUCAUAGCCACAAUGGAUAUUGCAUAUCAUCGCCACAACAGCUAUUGCAUAUCAUCGCCACAAUGGUUAUUGCAUAUCAUCGCCAUAAUAGCUACUGCAUAUCAUCGCCAUAAUGGCUAUUGCAUAUCAUCGCCAUAAUGUCUAUUGCAUAUCAUAGCCACAAUGGAUAUUGCAUAUCAUCGCCACAACAGCUAUUGCAUAUCAUCGCCACAAUGGCUAUUGCAUAUCAUCGCCAUAAUAGCUACUGCAUAUCAUCGCCACAAUGGCUACUGCAUAUCAUCGCCACAAUGGCUAUUACAUAUCAUCGCCACAAAGGCUAUUGCAUAUUAUCGCCACAAGGGCUAUUGCAUAUCAUCGCCACAAGAGCUAUUGUAUAUCAUUGCCACAAGGGCUAUUGUAUAGUAUCACCCCAAGGGUCAUUACAUAUUAUUUCUGCAAAGACCAUCUCAUAUCAUCGCCCUAGAAGGAAUUCAAUAUCUAUUGAUAAGCUAGACAGAAAUGUUGGUGUCAAGGAUAUCUCAUCAUUUCAUGAAUCAGCAUAUGAAUGCAUCGAGGGUACAUGAUUUAAAAGAAUGCCUUUAAGUCGCUAUCUAAGGAUGAAUGAUAUAUAAGGUUUCUUAGAAAUUGACAAUUUAAGGGAUUAUCUAUAAGUCAUAUUUAUGAAAUAGGAUAGUGUGCAAGAUCACCUAUGAGCUGAUAGCCUGUAAGUCAUCCGUAAGCCACAACAACAUUCUAACCAGAUAGUGUGCAAGAUCGCCUAAAAAUUGAUAGUUCAAAGAUUAUCCAUAAGUCACAACUAAAUUCUUACCGGAGAAUAUGCAAAAUUAUCAAAUUGAUACGUCCAAGGGUUCUCUAUAAGUCACGUCAUAUCUAAGAUUGAUUAUGUGUAGGAUUACCUAAAGACUAACAAUUUGAGAGAUUAUCUAUAAGUCAUAUUAUAUCCAAGGUCGGAUGAUGUACAAGAACACCUGAAAGCUAGCGAUUGGAGGAAUAUCUGUAAGCCAUCUCUUAUCCAAAGUUGGAUAAUGUGCAGGAUUACCUAAAAGCUAGAAAUUCAAAGGAUAUCUGUAAGUCGCCUUGCAUCCAAUAUCAAAUAAUACGUAAGAUUAUCCAAAGAUUGAUAAUUUAAGGAAAAUUUAUAAAUCGAUCAUUGGCUAUAACCGGAGAGGUUAUCAUUCCACAUACAACAAGUGAUAUCGGUAACCAAAAGGUUUGCCACUCCAGCACAAGAUUACACGGUUGUAGGGACCAUUCUGUAUAAAGUAUCGAUGGUGUCCAAAAAGGCCACCCUACUUUGAAGACAGAUUCAACCGAUCAAUGUCAUAAUUAUACAACAACCAAGAGGGUUGUUGUGUUUGUUGUUUCCAGUUAUUUUAUUCCAAACAUGUACCGUAAAGAGAUGACUCCGCUUUUUAGGCCACAACUCACACGGAGAUAUGGUAAAAGACUACCUACAUCUUUCGUGAAUUAUGUUAGUACUAACAUUUUUUUCUUGAGAAAUUGUCGAGAGCAUCCGAAAGGAUGAAAAUCUUAAAUCAAAACCAUAGUUACGGACUACUCUAAAAAGGAUGCAACACGACAUGGAACUUUUUCUCAGCAGCAAAACAGGACAUAGUCUGGAGAGGGAUGUCAAAAUCUCUAGAUGGGAGCUAAAUGAUGAUCACCACCACCAUCUAACCACGCCGAUAUCAGAAGGCAUGUGGGUAUUUUUGGAUAUUCUGGUCUCACCUUUACCUCUGGGAUGUUUGUUAACUCAUACUGAGGGGAACUUUCUUUUUCUUUCAAAUUUGGGUGGCAACACACUUGGAGUUUUGGAAAUUCUGUUCGGGUAAGUUCUUACCUAUAGAUGUGAAGAGCUCCACAUUCAUGGUUAAGAGGUUAAAAGCCUCUUUUCUGCAACUCGAUUAACUUGUCACUCAUUUUGAGUCAAAGAUCAUUUGAAAUAAAAGACUAUCUUGUUUACCGAUUGAGUCGAACUACAAGCAGUCUGAUUUCUUGAAAUCUUGGGGAUAUGUAGGCUGGGAUCUAUGUAGAAAACUCUACUGCAUUCUAACCUUUUCCUCCUAAAUCCCUCUAUUCCCUAGCCUCUCGAUUUAACCAAAAACUCUAAAACCGUGAUAGUUGGUGAAUUCUCUUGAAAAUUGUGCUUAAAAUCAAGCUUUAUGAACUACAAGUGGCCUGACUUCUCAUGAAACCUGAGAUAUGUAGGAAACUUGAUACCGAGGUUCGUCCAAAACUUCAUGAAACUCGUGCAGAAAACCAAUCUCUCUUAGAUGCAAAUUUGUGGUCGGACAAAAAUUAGGAUCGCCAACCUCCCUUUGCCCAGGGUUACUUGCAUCCACCCUACCCAAAGGGAGGGGCAUUUUUUGACACCUAAUUUUUGCCCUCCAUGACUAAAUUUAGUCCUAAGUUUCUUCGACUUUUAAUAAAAUUGAAAAUAUUUAUUUCAUCCGAAUAAGAUUUUUAAAAAGUAUAUUUGUAAGUGAUUUAGUCACUUUGAGUAGCAAUUAUUUAUUAUCGUGUUCAAUUAUGCAAUAUUGUAUAAUUUGAUUACUUAAAUGUUUAUUCUAUAGAAUAUCAAAUUUUAAUUAAAGAUUAUUUUGAAAAUGAAUAUGAUAAUUAAAAUCUUGAUUUAAUUAUAAUUUAUUCUCAAAAAAAUUUAUUCGGAGAGAUAUUUGUUUGAUUUUAUGAAAUCAAGAAAACUCGGGAUUGAAUUAGUUAUUAAUUUUUUUCAAAUAUUGCUUCAAUUUAGCCAAUUUAUUUAAUAGGGACCCUAAUUAAAAUCAAUUCGGCCGUGAUUGCAAUGCAAAUGGUCAUAUGAAUUUUAUUUAGGAUAAAAAUUAAAUACAAUUGUCUAAGUUUUAUUUAUUGACCAUUUGAUAAUUGGACCAAGACCAAAAAAUGAUCAGUAGCCCAUUUUCUUUUCUCAUUAAUAUUCAGCACUUAACAACUAGCCACCAAGCCCAAUUUCACUAGAUCCGACCCGGGCCUAAUACUCUUCACCCCUUUUCUUUCUCUACAACAACAUCAAACCAUAUUAGCUUCAAAAUUAAAUGACAACAAUAUCGCAACAACACCUAACAUCAGCCAUCAACCCGAUUCCAACUAGCCCGACCCAACAAAACCCACCGUUUCUCCUCUCCCUUACUUCUAUCAUACUUCUCACGUGAGUAGCAUGUAAUUUUAUACCAUGGGAAGUCUGAGAAUCCUCUAGAAGAUGUAUAGGUGUCCUCUCAAUGGUUCAAUUCUAUAAAUCUCGGUAACAAUGGUACGAUUUCGUGCAAAUUUGGGGGAUUUUCAUUGGUUGGGGGGUACAAUUCAUUUUCCAAAUAACCUAUUGGUCCACCCUUCCCUUGAUCCAAAAAGAAAAUCCAAAAAUUGGUAUGAAUUGAGGACGAAAACGGACUGUGGGGGGGAGAUUUUUGAGGGGGAGAUUCAAAAAUCUUUCUUUCGAAUUCCCUAGAUUACCCCUAAUCCUUCUUCUAUAUAAAGACCCAUUGGGUCACUGUUUUAGGGUGGGGGGAUCUUUGAAGUCGAGAAAAUUAGGAGGGGGUCGGAAUUUUGGGGUGGUCUUUUAAAGGUUCAAAAAGAGAGAAAUCUUCUGAAGGAGGUUCUGAUUCGAAAACAGAGUAAGGAAAAUUUUUUAGAGUUUCUAAAUGUAGGUUGAAAAUUUCAGUCGAAAGUCUCAGGGGUUUCAAAGUUUCUUUAGGGGUAAAGGUAAAAGACGCUUUGUUGGUGGUCGAUGUCAUGAGAUUCUGUUAGCAAUAAGU
rnacentral:lncRNA from 1 species